rnacentral:rRNA from 1 species
GACACGCUGGCGGCAUGCCUAAUACAUGCAAGUCGAACGCGGCCAUCCGGUGCUUGCACUGGUGAAGCCGAGUGGCGAACGGGUGAGUAACACGUGAGAAACCUGCCCUGGAGUGGGGAAUAACUCGAAGAAAUUCGAGCUAAUACCGCAUACCUUCUCUUCACCGCAUGGUGAGUUGAAGAAAGAUUUAUCGCUCUAGGAGGGUCUCGCGGCCUAUCAGCUAGUUGGUGAGGUAAUGGCUCACCAAGGCAUCGACGGGUAGCUGGUCUGAGAGGACGAUCAGCCACACUGGGACUGAGACACGGCCCAGACUCCUACGGGAGGCAGCAGUAGGGAAUCUUGCGCAAUGGGCGAAAGCCUGACGCAGCAAUGCCGCGUGCGGGACGAAGGCCCUAGGGUCGUAAACCGCUUUCAGUAGGGACGAAAAUGACGGUACCUGCAGAAGAAGCUCCGGCCAACUACGUG